CUUCUCCGCCAAUAGAAUUAUGCACGUGGAAAGGAUGACCGAGUCUCUGUUGUUCGCUGCUGUUUCAACUUACAUCGUCGUCGUCGUUGUCGUUGUCAUUCUCAAUCACCCACUCUUGCACACUAUUUCCAUAUCGAGUUUGAUUGGUAUCUCUCUUGUCAGGCAAAGUGUGGCAGUUGGAAAUAGUGAGCCGAGGUCGCCCAGUCUACUAGAGUCCAUCUCAAAUCACCGAGUGCGUCUCAAUAAUUUUUUAUUUUAUUAUUUUUUAGCAAAAUUUAUUUAAUACCUUUUGUACGUGAUUGUGAUGAGACUCGACAGUUAUCUAAUUCUCACAACAGGACCAGCGUGAAAUCAAAGGACAUCUUGGCUGCUGCCAAAUUCAUUUUUUUUCCUCUAUUUAUUUUAUCAUAUUACACACCUGUGUCAACUAAUAUGAUUUUACUCCGAUAAUUUUGAGUUGAAUUGAAUUUAUAAUUUUUUUAGAUAUACUAGCUGUGAAGAAUAUAAAAGGGUGCUGGAAGCUGAUGAAAUAGAUCAUUAUUUAACCACGUGUGCGACCUUUCAAGACCAAACUAACACACUCGUGCUCGCUUAUACAAAAAAAAGAUAAAAUUGAUAAAAAAUAAAAAUAAAAAAAAAGCAAUUGAUGAAUAAAAAAUGCGACAGAAAGUGACGUGAAUUAAAUUAUUAUUUAUCAUUAAUGUAUAUAACAUUAUUACGUAAUGAGUAAACUGGUUCUUUUUUUGAUACCAAAAGUAUAAUACCGAGAGGAGAGACACACCUUUUAAAAUACAGAUGGAUGUAUAAUGAUCCAGAAGAAAGCGGGAUGUGUAAUUUUAAAAGAGGAAAGAGGAAAUCCGUUUUAUUGAAAUUGUUAUAUAUAUAAACAUUUAUUGAAGAAUUUUAAUGUUCGAUAAUAUAAAUUAAAUUAAAUGUAAUUUAUAAAUUAUUAAUAAUAUUUAUUGAGGAAAUUUAAAUAUAGAAUAGUAUUUAAUGAUUGAAAUUUUGGUUAGAAGGAUUCAGGAAUGAAAAAUAAAAUUUAUUAUUAGAUUUAAUAUUAAUUUAUUAAUGUAUAUGCUAUUAUCUGGUGGAUGUAAUUUAAUUAAUAUCUAUUUAAUUAAACUUAAACUUCAAUUUUAUUAUCAGGAUGUAUAUCAAUUAGAUUCAAGUCUUAAUAUGUGAUACGCAUUGAUAAUAUAAAGUACGGUGGAGAUAUAUCUGAGUUAUGAAAUGAAUUAGCGGGUUUAAAAAAAAAAUAAAGAAGAUGAUAUUCACUUAAGACGUCUGAAAUAUUGAAUGAAGAUAAUUGGGUCGAUUGGUCGUGAAUCUACUUGUGAAAAAAAAAAAAAAAAUAAGGAACAAAUUAAUUUAAUCGUAAGUGUGAAAGAGUCUGACACGUGUUGCAAACUUUUUUUAUUUAUUUUAUUUUAUUUAAUUUUUGCGGGUUUUAAAAUAUUCAUAUUACGUUUUCACCAAUAAUGAACUUUGAUAUUUUUCUUAAUAUUCAUUAUCAACCACAUAAAUAUAUGAAUGACAGCACAAUAUAGAUAUAUAAGUAAUAAAAUCAAUAAUUUUAUCUUGUCCUUUAGCUAUUUUGGUAAAUUCGCAAUUAAACUUCAGAUUAAUCUGACCUUGGAUUUUUUUAUUCUUUUUAUCGUACACGUGUAUGUUUUUACAUUAUAUUAUAUAGAUAUAUAUAUUUAAACUUGUUUAAAUAAUUUAAAACCCUAUUAGGUCAAGAGCUCGACGAAAAAAUAAAAAAAAUUCGGCACGUGUCACCUGAUAGAGAAGUUUAAAAUAAAUAAUUAUAUUUAUAUUUAAUAAAUAGUCAGGUGUCUGUACUUUUAGUGUAAUAAAAUUUUUUAAGACUCGGUAAAUUAAUUAAAAUUUUAUAUAAUUCUCAAGUAUAUUACGCUGAAAUUUAUAUUUAAAAAUUUGUUAAUCUUAUUCCGA